UACGGAGGGUGCGAGCGUUGUCCGGAAUCACUGGGCGUAAAGGCGCGUAGGCGGCCGUGUAAGUCACUUGUGAAAUCCCGGGGCUCAACCCCGGGGCUGCAGGUGAGACUGCGUGGCUAGAGCACGGUAGAGGCGAGUGGAAUUCCUGGUGUAGCGGUGAAAUGCGCAGAUAGUCAGGAGGAACACCGGUGGCGAAGGCGGGUUGCUGGGCUGAUACUGACGCUGGAGGCGCGAAAGCCAGGGGAGCGAACGGG
rnacentral:rRNA from 1 species